rnacentral:sRNA from 1 species
UUUGGAGUAAGGUUUGGCAUGCUGAUAAAGGAGCAAUAGGAAGCCGGGAGUCUGGGGCCACUGAGGUUGCCGCUGAGUCCUGGAGACCCUCAGGAUCAGGCCUGCUGACCUUUCCUCAGAGAAGGAGAUUUGGAGGCAAGCUGAUUGAAUGUGAAGAAGCUGUAAGGUAAGACCUAUGUUGGUGACAGGAUUAAGAUGCAAGAUGACCCUGGCCCACAAGAGAAUGAGCUAGAAGAACUGGAAAAGUCAUAAAGGGAACAUUAUAUUGUUGUCACAAUGGUAAUAUUUCAAAUAUUCUCUAGAUGACACUUGUAGAAGCUAGGGAACACCUGGAUGGACACCAAGCCUUUCAAAAAGGACAAAGGGGUUUCUGGGACUGAGUCACCCUCCAGAUUCACACCCCCCAAUAACCUCAAGCUGUGCCCAUUUGAACAUAGGUAAAUUGGUACUCAGCCUAAACAAAAAAGGUAGGCAGUUGCAUGAUCUAUGUCAUGGCUGUGUGGGCUAUAUAUAAAUGAAGCUCUAUCUAUCUAUCUAUCUAUCUAUCUAUCUAUCUAUCUAUCUAUCUAUCUAUCUAUCUAUCUAUGUAUCUACAUGAAGACACAGGGUACACAAACUCCAUUCUCCUGUUUAAUCACUGAUAGUGUGUGCAGUCCCAUCAAGCAAACAAAAAAUUCUAUGGGGAACACCAGCCGGCUGUCUUCCAAUCUGAUUAGAGCUAAUAUGGAAAUAGAUGACUCUCGAGUCUACAAAUAGCAUCAGCUAUCCCAGAUGGGUACUGCACUUCUCAAGACUGCCUGUCUUCCCACACCAGUCAUAGGCCCAUGAUUAUUUUCCUGGGUGUCUGACUGAGUGGCAUUGAAGCAGGGUUCCCACACCCUCAGGUUCAACUGGCUGGAAUGGCUCACAGAACCCAGGAGUCUUCACUGCCUUUGUAUCACAGUGACAAAACAUCAUGACCAAGGCAACUUACAAAAUAAAGAAUUGGGGUUUAUAGUUCCAGAGGGUUAUUGUCCAUGACCAUCACAUGGUAGCAGGCAGGUGCUGGAGCCACAGCUGAAAGCUUACAUCUUGAUCCACAA